GCGGCAGUAGCUCGGUGUAGAGCCCCCGUUUCGGAUGCGGGAAAGCCUGGGUUCGAUCCUCGGCUGCUUCC
rfam:Toxocara canis scaffold491, whole genome shotgun sequence.